rnacentral:rRNA from 1 species
AGCAGCCGCGGUAAUUCCAGCUCCAAUAGCGUAUAUUAAAGUUGUUGCAGCUAAAAAGCUCGUAGUUGAAUUUCGGGACCAAUCUGCCGGUCGUGCCUCCGGUACGCACUGGUUUUAUUGGUUCCUCCCUUCUGACGAACCAUGAUGUCAUUAAUUUGGUGUCAUGGGGAAUCAGGACUGUUACUUUGAAAAAAUUUAGAGUGUUUAUAGCAGGCUCACGCUUGAAUACAUUAGCAUGGAAUAAUGAAAUAGGACGUUUGACCCUAUUUUGUUGGUUUCUAGGAUCGACGUAAUGAUUAAUAGGGAUAGUUGGGGGCAUUAGUAUUCAAUUGUCGGAGGUGAAAUUCUUGGAUUUAUUGAAGACUAACUACUGCGAAAGCAUUUGCCAAGGAUGUUUUCAUUAAUCAAGAACGAAAGUUAGGGGAUCGAAGACGAUCAGAUACCGUCGUAGUCUUAACCAUAAACUAUGCCGACUAGGGAUCGGAUGAUGUUAAUUUUUUAAUGACUCAUUCGGCGCCUU